GUUUUAACAUCUAUCAGAACAACAUGGCUAGUGAUUUGUCUUAGCCCUAAAAGAAAAUAAUUAAGAAAAAGGAAGGAAACAAGGUCUUUAUUAAGAAAAUAAUUAAACAAGGUCUGUCAAAUGUUUGUUCUGACAAGAUAAAAUUAUAACUGAUGCUAAAUAAAAGAAAAAUAAAAAAGUAAUUAAAAAAAUGAUUGACAAGCAUGCUCAAGGUCUUUUCUUCAUGUAUCUGUAUAUGUUUAGAAAGGCAUUUUAUAUACAUAAGGCACAAGCAUUUUUGUUUUGAUUUAUUUUACUUUUGUGGCAGUGGUCAUAAUUUGUCGGUAAGGCUGAAUUUUAGUAUGUAUGUAACCUUGAUAAAUUUCUUACUGAAUUUUAUAACCCAUGCAGAUAAGCAAUCAUUUUUGAACACUUCUA
rnacentral:misc_RNA from 1 species